GUCUCUGUGGUGCAACUGUUAGAGCAUUUGGCUGCUGACCAAAAGGUUGGUGGUUCAAACCCACCCAGGGGUG
rnacentral:tRNA from 1 species